rnacentral:rRNA from 1 species
GACGAACGCUGGCGGCGUGCCUAAUACAUGCAAGUCGAACGCUGAAGGAGGAGCUUGCUUCUCUGGAUGAGUUGCGAACGGGUGAGUAACGCGUAGGUAACCUGCCUGGUAGUGGGGGAUAACUAUUGGAAACGAUAGCUAAUACCGCAUAAUAGCAGUUGUUGCAUGAUAACUGUUUGAAAGGUGCAAUUGCACCGCUACCAGAUGGACCUGCGUUGUAUUAGCUGGUUGGUGGGGUAACGGCUCACCAAGGCGACGAUACAUAGCCGACCUGAGAGGGGGGUCGGCCACACUGGGACCGAGACACCGCCCAGACGCCUAAGGGAGGGAGCCGUAGGGAAACUUCGGGCAAUGGCGGAAGUCUGACCGAGCAACGCCGCGGGAGGGAAUAAGGGUCUCGGGUCGGAAAGCUCUGUUUUAAGGGAAGAACGAGUGUGGGAGUGGAAAGUUCACACUGUGACGGUAUCUUACCAGAAAGCGACGGCUAACUACGUG